CUGUGAGUGCAAACGUCUAACUUACGUUGAACGUAGACAGUUACGACCCGUCAUUGGUUCAGAGUCUACGUUCACUCUAGACUCUAAGCCAAUCAGAGAGCCAAACCGUCUACGUUCACAUGGCGACUAGCUGGUUGGAAAUAAAUAAGCGAAUUGAUAAUUUUAAGGAGAAGAUGGAUCCAUUGCAGCCCAAGCUGACACAAGUGUGCAAAAAAUAGGCAACAAUGCCUUCUUAGGGCAACAAAGGAGGCCAAUGCACUGGCAAAACUAACACAUGCUUCAAAAAGACAACAGUCAAGGACCAAAAGACGGCUUGUGAGGAAGAUGUCGACUCCAUCAGAAGAGCAGUAUCUCGGCCAGCUUCAUUUGACCUUUGGAAAAUACAAUGGCCAAAGCUUUAAAUGGCUGGUCGAGAAUGAUGUUGAAUAAAUAAAGUAGUCAGUGUGGACAGGGCCAUUUACGGGCAGAGCCGCUUCAGGUCGUUUACGUUCCUCGAGAUGUGGCAGUGGUACAGCCUGCACAAGACCCUUCAGACCGGCCCGCAAGCUGGGACCGGCCAAGAGAGGAAAAUGGCGCAGGGGGCGUACACCUCUACAAAGCAGUGGCUGGUGAUGAAAGAGGAGGACAUCACCACCAAGUCCCUAAAUCACUUUAGGCGCUACAUUCUCGAUAAAAUUCUCUGUUGGUUACAGUGACCUCCACAAGCAAGGCUGUGUCUGAUGAGUGUCCAGAGCAGCCAACGUCUAGUGUGCAUCCAGAACAGCCGAUAUUCCUGCCGUCCUCAGCACCUGGUGAGUCUCCCCCUGAUGCUCGCCCCGAGAAGCCGCCAUCGACCUCCAACAGCCAGACUGCGUCUGCCACCACCUUGUCGCAGAGUGACUAUUCUGUGGAGCUGGAGGGCUGGGUGCAGCUGUGGGAAGACUCCAAUGUUGGGCCCUAUAAUUUUGGGCGAUCACAGAAUCGCGGACGGAAUCGUGAAAUUGGCAAAUUAACACGGACUCUAGUGUUAACGCGAAAUUUCGCUGAAUUUUACAUAUUUUUAAUAAAAUUCUGUCUUUGUGUGGGAGAGUAUGUCUGGAGGAAAUGCAGACUGGGGGAAGCAAAUU